rnacentral:lncRNA from 1 species
AAACAUCUGAAGAGGUAGGCUAAUAGCAAGCGUAUCCUUCGGUCCUAUCAUGCAAUACAAACAAUCUCGCAAGCAUCACACAAAAACAGGUAGGCAGCUCAUCGAAUGCAACAAGCGGACCCCAGCAAAUCACCACCACCCCAGCAAUGCCUGCCUAAUAGACUGAACUGCCAUCAAGCAUAGCUGCCCGUCGCCGCUCAGGUUCAUCAGUAUUCGGAUGGUGAGAUGACGUCGUCAAUCUUGAGGAUCAUCUUCACCACCUGAGUGGCAAGUA